AAACUCAAAUGAAUUGACGGGGCCCGCACAAGCGGUGGAGCAUGUGGUUAAUUCGAAGCAACGCGAAGAACCUUACCAGGUCUUGACAUCCCUGACAACCCGAGAGAUCGGGCGUUCCCCUUCGGGGGACAGGGUGACAGGUGGUGCAUGGUUGUCGUCAGCUCGUGUCGUGAGAUGUUGGGUUAAGUCCCGCAACGAGCGCAACCCUCGACCUUAGUUGCCAGCAUUCAGUUGGGCACUCUAAGGUGACUGCCGGCUAAAAGUCGGAGGAAGGUGGGGAUGACGUCAAAUCAUCAUGCCCCUUAUGACCUGGGCUACACACGUGCUACAAUGGGCGGUACAAAGGGUCGCGAACCCGCGAGGGGGAGCCAAUCCCAAAAAGCCGCUCUCAGUUCGGAUUGCAGGCUGCAACUCGCCUGCAUGAAGCCGGAAUCGCUAGUAAUCGCGGAUCAGCACGCCGCGGUGAAUACGUUCCCGGGCCUU
rnacentral:rRNA from 1 species